GAUCAUGGCUCAGGAUGAACGCUAGCUACAGGCUUAACACAUGCAAGUCGAGGGGCAGCAUGUCGGUUGCUUGCAACCGACGAUGGCGACCGGCGCACGGGUGAGUAACGCGUAUCCAACCUACCCUUGUCCAUCGGAUAACCCGUCGAAAAGGCGGCCUAACACGAUAUGCGGUUCACAGCAGGCAUCUAAUGUGAACGAAAUGUGAAGGAGAAGGAUGGGGAUGCGUCUGAUUAGCUUGUUGGCGGGGUAACGGCCCACCAAGGCGACGAUCAGUAGGGGUUCUGAGAGGAAGGUCCCCCACAUUGGAACUGAGACACGGUCCAAACUCCUACGGGAGGCAGCAGUGAGGAAUAUUGGUCAAUGGGCGCAAGCCUGAACCAGCCAAGUAGCGUGCAGGAAGACGGCCCUAUGGGUUGUAAACUGCUUUCAGUCGGGAAUAAUUCGUCGGUCGUGACCGACGUUGCAGGUACCGUCAUAAGAAGGACCGGCUAAUUCCGUG
rnacentral:rRNA from 1 species